rfam:Enterococcus saccharolyticus ATCC 43076 genomic scaffold acpML-supercont1.4, whole genome shotgun sequence.
AGAGUGUUAUGAUGUUGGAGGGCAACCUCCGAGUCUAGCUCGGCGCUACCCCCUGGAAGAUUUUCAGGGGG